AUCAUUCCAGUGAAUUUCUUUGGUAGCACAAAAACCUCCCCUCAAACUUACGAAUUUUACAAUCCAUCGGCAUUAGCUCGCCAGUUAGCUUUCGGCCAGUUGCCGAUUGCACUUCCUUAUGCCGAUGUGAUAAAACCUAGAGAAACUAUCAACAACCUUCUUGAGUGGACUCGAGCAGCCCAACUACCACCAAACGCCGAUAUAGAUGUAAAUCUGUCAGAAUGGGUUCCGGCUGCUUUUAUCACUCAAGCAUACAAGUUAUGGUGGGCAGAAUGGAAAGAGCAUCUAUUCUGCAGAUCGGCACUUUCAUACCGCGGCAUGAUUGACUCCGAAUACGAAGUUCCCGAUGACGCUGUGAGUAACUCAAACCAACGUUUCAUUUUCUCGAUAUUACCCCCAUCGGCAGCAUACCCUUGUAUUCCUUUUGCAGGUUGACAAUAUUCCUCCAUUGGUUAGCAGGAGUGGCAGGCCGAUCGACUUGUUUCCAUCAGGCCCGAUUUCCUCAAUCGGCCACAAUGCUCCCACUCUAGCUUUCAUCGUGCAUCGGGGUGUACGCCUCAGGAAAGUCACCACCAGAAGAACUCAGACAUCACCAACGGUUGCUGCUCCCACUCUUGCGCGGGCUUUCAAGGCAAUCUGUCAAAUCUUUUCCUUUAUGCUGACUAUCUUUAUAUCGGCUAUAUUUAUGCUUAUAAACUCUUGUUCAUUAUUGCAGCAAACCGGCGCAUCGGCGAAAGCCAGGUGUGAGAGUACCGAUGCCCCCCAGUCUAGCCAACCCAAGAGAAAGGGCACCAUGGGUGCUAAGACUGGAACAAAGCGCCAGAAGGUAGCAACUCGCCCUCCUCCUCCGGUAUCUCCAAUUCCGGUGGAGUCUUCUCCUUCUUCUCCAGAAGCCCAACCACAGCAAGCACCAUCUCCCCCACCUAUGCAGGAAGCACCACAGAUAGAAGAACCCCAACAGGAAGGAUCUCAAACAGAAGAUACAUCAGCUGACACGGGCGAACAAACAACUGGCCCGGUGGGUCCAGUUAUACCAUCGACAGUUCUCCCGAUUCAGACAACCGUUGUCCCUCCUCCAGGUAACAUACUUUAACAAUAUCGCUACCGAUGAACUUAUUCUUAUCUAGCCUCAUAACUCCUUUUGUCUUCUUUCAGUUGAUAUCGUUCCAUCGGCAAUCUCAGCCGAUCAACCUGUAGCUCCAUCGGCAUCUUUGGCCGAUCAGCCUGCAGCUCCGUCAGCACUUCUCAGUCAAGGACAAGAGAUCGCCUUGAAGCAAGUAAGUCACCGUUUACCGUUAGCACUAUUUGCCGAUUCUCUAAGUAUGAGCUAAUUUUGCUUUCCCUCCCAGGAACAAGAUUCUCCUGAUAGCCUGUUCUCCUUCGCCAUUGAUCUCUCUGAAGAAGAAGGUGAAGAAGCAAGCACUUCUCAGACGGUCGGCAUCACAUCGGCAGAGGUCAGGGUCAGGCUGGAAGAAUUGUCAGCUCUUCUUCACCAGGACACAGCACAAUUGGUUGAUGAUUCCGACCCUACCAAGACCCUGUUCAGAACUCUCAGAGGCCAAAUCCCAGCCGAUGUUGAAGAAAUCCUGUUCCAAGCCGCUCAUCUGGAGAGUCGCCAGCUGCAGUACCAAAGAGCUUCUCGGCGGCUUGCCGAUAGAGCCGCUCAGACUCAACUCUCCGAUGAAAUGAGGAAAGAGAAGCUUUUGACCGAUGAGAAGCACAAGAACAUCGGUAUCCUGAGAUCUUCUGGAGACGCGCUGAAGCAGAAGAUAUCCGAUCUAUCGGCAAGAAAAGAGUCCCUGUUGGCGGAGCUCAAGGAAGUAGAGAACGCUCUGUCCCAAGCCCAACAGGAAGAGAGCCAAUUGCCAGAGACCAUCAGGCUUCUUGAGCGCGAGCGAAAUGCUCAUGGUCGCAAAGCACUCCAACUGAAGAAGAAGCUGAAGCCGAUAGAAGGUUCUGCCGAUGAUGACAUCAAAGAGAUAGAAGCAGCCAACCAAAUUCGGCUACGCGCUAUAUCGGCAAUCCAGACGCUGCUUAACACAUAGAGUUUCCAUCGGCAUUGUAUCUGCGCUUUCCUGCUUCCUCAGCUUUUAGUCUAGCCGAUAGGACUGUUAUCGGCGCCUAAACUUUUGAAACACCAAGUCUUGUCCCCAAGCAUUUGGAUCCAGCCGAUAGGAGUGUUAUCGGCACCUAAACUUCUAUGCAUCGACCCAUAUACUGGGGUAGUACUUCUUUAAAUAUUUGCCGUUUAAUGCUCUGGGAAAUUCAAUUCCUUCGAGGGUUUCUAGAAUGUAGGCAUUACCAGGAACCGAUCGACUUAUCCGAUAAGGACCCUCCCAAUUAGGAGACCACUUUCCAAACUUCGAACUUUUGGUCCCAAUUGGUAAAAUUAAUUUCCAUACCAAAUCCCCAUCGGCAAACUCUUUAGCCUUCACUUUCUUAUCAUACCAUCUAGCAACUCUCUUCUUAUUUUCUUCUAUACUCAUUAAAGCUUUUAACCGAUGCCCUGCUAGAUCGUCCAAUUCAUCGGUCAUCAAAGUGGCAUAACCAUCGGAAGUUAAUUGAUCUUGAAAAGAUAAUCGCCUAGAUCCAGCCUUAAUUUCCCAAGGCAACACUGCAUCAUGUCCAUACACCAAUUGAUAGGGUGAUACCUUGGUCGAUCCAUGACAAGCCAUCCGAUAAGACCACAAUGCUUCAUUUAAUAAUGUAUGCCACCGCUUAGGAUUUUCUUCAAUCUUUCGUUUAAUAAGCUUGAUAAUUCCUUUGUUAGACGCUUCGGCCUGCCCAUUGGCUUGAGCAUAAUAAGGAGAAGAAUUCAACACUUUAAUUCCCAUACCGAUUGCGAAUUCAUCGAACCCCCCCGAUGUGAACAUGGUGCCUUGAUCGGUAGUAAUCGUUUGGGGAAUCCUAAAUCGGUAAAUAAUAUGCUCCUUCACAAAAUCAAUCAUAUUGGCCGAUGUGACUUUCUUCAAAGGAAUAGCUUCAACCCACUUAGUGAAAUAGUCAGUGGCAACUAGAAUGAACUUAUGCCCUUUGCUAGAUGGUGGAUAAAUCUGGCCGAUCAGAUCGAUGGCCCAUCCCCGGAACGGCCAAGGCUUUAUUAUAGGAUUCAUAGCCGAUGCGGGUGCUCUCUGGAUAUUACCAAACUUUUGACAACCUUGACAUCCCUUGAAAUAUUUAAAACAAUCUUCAAGUAUGGUUGGCCAAAAAUAUCCAUUCCUUCGAAUCAUCCACUUCAUCUUAAAAGCUGACUGAUGCGCUCCACACACUCCUUCAUGGAUUUCCCCCAUCAAACUUCUAGCUUCAUCAUCACCCAAGCAUCGGAGAAGAAUUCCGUCGAUAGUUCGAUAAUACAAUUCAUUUUCAAGGAGCACAUACUUGGUUGCUUGAAAUCGAACCCGUCUUUCAACUUUUUUGGAUGGAUCUUUUAGAUAAUCAAUAAUUUCUUUCCUCCAAUCACCGGCACCGACUGCCGAUGUCGCAUUAAUCAUUGGCUGAUAUCCCGAGGCAUGCUGAGCUAACCGAUUAGCGUCUUCAUUAUGCAAUCGGGGAACAUGCUCCAAUCGGAAAUCCUUGAAUUCCUUUAACAGUUGCAUACUUCUCUCGAAAUAAGUUAUGAGAACUUCACUUCGGCAUUCAUAGCUUCCGGCCAAUUGAUUUAUAACCAACAUAGAAUCCCCGAAUAUUUCAACAGCAUCAGCACGAACUUCUCUUAACAACUCCAAUCCCUUGAUCAGAGCUUGAUACUCAGCCUGAUUAUUUGUUGAUGUGGCAACAAUCGGCAAGGAAAACUCAUACUUCCUCCCCUUAGGGGAGACUAAUACAAUGCCGAUUCCUGCCCCCCGGUCACAGGUAGAUCCAUCAAAGAAGAGCGUCCAGGGUACAAUUUCCAAGGUUUCCACUAGACCGCAAUGCUGAGUCACAAAAUCGGCCAUAAUCUGCCCUUUGACUGCCUUAGCCGAUUCGUAACGCAAAUCGAACUCCGAUAGCGCUAAAAUCCAUUUACCGAUCCUACCACUCAUAAUCGGCAUAGAUAGCAUGUAUCGGACCACGUCAUCUUUGCAAACAACAGUGCAUUCGGCCGAUAACAGGUAAUGUCUCAGCUUGAUACAUGAAAAAUAUAAGCAUAAGCAUAGUUUCUCAAUGGCCGAAUACCUGGUUUCAGCAUCAAUCAACCUCCUACUCAAAUAAUAAAUUACCCUUUCUUUCCCUUCAAAUUCUUGAACUAAAGCUGAACCGAUAACCGAUCCAUCGGUAGAUAAAUACAAUCUGAAGGGCUUCCCUUGUUGAGGUGGAACUAGAACUGGAGGAUUUACUAGAUACUUCUUGAUUUCAUCCAGAGCCAACUGCUGUUCUUCUCCCCAAAUAAACUCUUGAUCGGCUUUCAAUUUAAGAAGAGGACUGAAAGCACGAAUCCUACCAGACAAAUUCGAUAUAAAUCUUGUGAUAAAAUUUACCUUGCCGAUCAAGGAUUGGAGCUCAGUUUUGUUGGUAGGGGCCACUAUUUUAUUGAUGGCAUCAAUAGAUCUUCGACUAAUUUCAAUACCCCUCUGAUGUACCAUGAAACCAAGAAACUGCCCUGCCGAUACACCAAAUGCACACUUGUUGGGAUUCAUCUUCAAUCCAUGCUUCCUUGUGCACUCUAACACUUUUUGUAAAUCGGCAAGAUGCUUUGAGAAAUCUCCAGACUUAACCACCACAUCAUCAAUAUAAAUCUCUACGAGCUUGCUGAUGAACUCAUGAAAUAUAAAAUUCAUAGCCCUUUGAUAAGUAGCACCAGCAUUCUUCAACCCAAAAGUCAUGACUAUCCAUUCAAACAGCCCAACAUGACCGGGACACCUGAAUGCGGUCUUUGGAAUAUCUUCCUCCGCCAUGAAUAUUUGAUUGUAACCUGCAUUACCAUCCAUGAAGCUGAUGACCUGAUGACCAGCCGCAGCAUCAACCAGUAGAUCGGCGACAGGCAUUGGGUAUCCAUCCAUCGGCGUAGCUUUGUUGAGAUUCCUGAAAUCAAUGCACACCCGAAGCUUCCCGUUCUUCUUGUAAACCGGAACAACAUUGGAAAUCCACUCGGCAUACCGACACUGCCGAAUAAACUUGGCUUCAAUAAGUUUGGUGAUUUCGGCCUUAAUAUCAGGUAGAAUGUUAGGAUUGCAUCGGCGGGCUGGUUGCUGAUGUGGCCGAAAUCCAGACUUGAUGGGUAACCGAUGUUCAACAAUUGAUCGGUCUAAACCAGGCAUCUCGGUAUAAUCCCAAGCAAAGCAAUCUUUAUAUUCCUUUAACAAACUAGUCAAUUGUUGCUUACUCUCAGGAUCUAAUUUAGCACUAAUAAAAGUAGGCCUAGGCUUAUCACCACUACCUAUAUCUAUUUCUACCAAAUCAUCGGCCGAUGUGAAUCCCUGGCCUAAUUUUCCAUCAUCGGCGAAUCUAUCCAUUAAAAACCGUCGUCAGAACCGACUGCUUGGAUCGGUGGAAUCUCAUAAUCGGCAACUUUGAGAAAAUCUUUCUCCCAAACUUCUCCUGAAAUGCACCUGGUCCUUUCGUAAGUAUCCGCUUCUGCCGAUGCGAUAACAUAAGAAGAAUCUCCUGGGACAAUCUCAAUCUUGUCACCUACCCACUGAACCAAGCAUUGAUGCAUUGUAGAUGGGAUACAACAAUUGGCAUGAAUCCAAUCUCUUCCCAAUAAUAAGUUGUAAGCACCUUUUCCGCUGAUCACGAAAAAAGUUGUCGGCAAGGUUUUGCUGCCGAUGGUCAACUCUGCACAUAUCGCCCCCUUGACUGGAGACACGUUUCCUUCAAAGUCUUUGAGCAUCAUAUCGGUCUUGGUCAAAUCUUGAUCCCCUUUCCCAAGCUUCCGAUAUACUGCAUAUGGCAUAAUAUUAAUAGCAGCUCCACCAUCAACUAGGAUCUUGGUCAUUGGCUGCCCAUCAACCCUUCCUUUGAGGAACAGAGCUUUAAGAUGCUGCCUCUCGUCAUCGGCAGGUUUCUCAAAGAUAGCCGUCAUCGGAUCCAGAGCCAACUGAGCUAUCUGAUCAGAAAAUUCCAACUCAUCAUCACUGGCUGGUGCAAGAAACUCCAUCGGCAACAUGAAGACCAUGUUGACGCCUGCCGAUGGACCUUCCCUCUUAGUGUCUGACGGCUGUCGACUUCCAGAGUUCUCUCCCUUGUUUAGCUCUUCUUGCCUUUCACGUUGCAAUCUCCUUUUCUGUGUCUUGGUUAAUCCUCCAGGGCACCAUGGAGGAAGUGGCCUUUGCCUUGCCGUCGGGCGUCGGUUCUCCCUUGACUCCAUACGAUGCGUGUUAGCAUCCCUGCAAAAUAUGAAUUCAUCGGGAACCCGCGCAUCAACCAUUCCCUCGAGCUCUUCUUGGUUCCUGGGAAAAUACUGGACACGGUCACUAAGUCUGUCGUGCCCGCUAUAUCUGCCCCCCAGCCGGUCAUGAACUGACACCCUUCCUCUGAUCGGCCCAUUAAAUCGCCGUUCAUCAUUAUGAUAAUGCCGAUCGAUCCUAUCGUACCGAUCAUAACCGUUGCACUCAGGGCAGUCUCUGACAGUAGGAAGCUUGAUAUUUUCCUCCCAACAAUGGAUGAAGAAUGGACAAUUCCAAUGAUCCCUGUGCCGAUUCCACUCCUGUCGGCGUCUUUCUUCUUCCCGUCGAUAAUCUUCCUGCUGGCGCCGAUACCGAUCUUCCCGUUGUUGCCAUUUUUCUCGAGGCCUUCUAUGAGUUAUGACGAUACCAGAUCGAGGAAGCCUUCCUGAGCUAGUUCCUUCCUGGACCAAGCCCUUACUUCUUGCAUCGGCAGUAGUAACUUGAUGCUGAGGAUCUACCGAUGCACUCUUCUCAGCUGUCUCCGAUGUUAAGACCUUAGCCUUCCCCUUAGCAUCCAACAUGUUUGUCGGGAAAGGAUGUUGGUCUAUCUUCAUCGGCUUCUGGGCCUUGGAACUGUCAAACUUGAUUCUCCCUGACUCUAUAGCCGAUUGCAGCUGCUGUCUGAAUACUUUGCACUCGUUGGUGUCAUGGGAAGUUGCAUUAUGCCACUUGCAAUAUCUCAUCCUCUUCAACUCUUCUGCCGAUGGGAUCACAUGGUUAGGUGACAGUUUGAUCUGACCUUCCUGAAGUAGAAAGUCAAAUAUCCUAUCAGCCUUAGCGGUGUCAAAAGCAAACUUCUCUGGUUCCUUCUGCCCAAAAGGACAAGACAUCGGCUUCUUGUUUUUUACCCACUCUGCCAAGCCGAUUACUGGUUCUUCAUCAGAAUCUGAGCUUGUUGCUUCAUCAACAAAUGACACUUUCUUAUUCCAUGCCCUCUUAGGCUCGAAAGGCUUGAUGUCUUGAUCAGAAAUCCUCUGCACCAAAUGACUUAAACUUUCGAACUCCUGAGAGGCAUACUUGUCCCUGAUAUGUGGCAACAAACCCUGGAAAGCCAAAUCGGCUAGCUGCCGAUCAUCCAGAACCAGGCUAUAGCAUUUAUUCUUGACCUCUCGUAUCCUCUGCACAAAUCCCUCAACCGACUCAUCAUUACGUUGCCUCAACUUGACCAAGUCGGUGAUCUUCUUCUCAUGAACCCCCGAGAAGAAGUAUUUGUGGAAUUGCUUCUCUAGAUCGGCCCAAGUAAUUACUGAGUUGGGAGGUAAUGAUAUGAACCAAGUAAAGGCCGAUCCAGACAAUGAUGAUGAAAAUAGAUGAACCCUCAAUUCGUCCCUGUUACCAGCCUCUCCACAUUGAAUAAUGAACCUGUUGACAUGCUCCAUGGUUGACGUGUCGUCCUGUCCGGAAAACUUUGUAAAAUCCGGUACCUUGUACCGAUGUGGAAGCGGGAUCAAAUCAUACGUGGGAGGAUACGGUGUCCGAUAAGAGUAAGUGUUGACUUUGGGUUUUAUCCCAAAUUGUUCCCUCAUUACUUCAGCAAUCUUAUCGGCCCAAUAUGCAUCGGCAUCUUGCCGAUGAGGCGGCUGCGGAUCUGGUACUUGGUGGCGAACCUCCACGUGUCUGUUGGGGACGUGAUCCGCGCGGAACAUUGUAUUGAUCACCUGUCCUCCAAUCUGCGGACCACCAAACUGCUGUCCACCGAUUGGCUGUCCUCCGAGUUGCUGUCGAAAAUUCAUUGGCUGGUUGGGAAUCCCCUGACCUUGGAACCCGGGAUAGACCUGCCCUUGCUGGAACCCUGUAGUCUGGUAACUCUGCUGGGGCGAUUGUGGAAAGGCUUGCUGUCCAAGCCAUCCAUUAUUAGCGUUCAUCGGCAUAGGUGCUGCCGAUGAUUGGUAAUUGGGUACCGUCGUUGAAUUGACAUACCCCGACUGGGCCAUAGGCCUCUGUUGCAUCAACAUUGACUCUGCCGAUGCGUUGGGCAUCUGGAACAUUGAAUCUUGAGGAUUUCCAGUGUGAGGCCUUGCAGUAGUAGUUGUGGUAUACCGAGGACUCUGGUUCACCGGCGCAUUGGGAGGUGCCGAUGUCAUAGGAGUUUUGCCCCUCAUGUCAGUUAUUUGUGAUGUUCCCGGCGUCAACUCUGGAGGCAUACCGUAACCCCACCAGUUGGGAGGAAGAGUCAACCCUGACAUUGCCGAUGCCAACAUAUCUGUUGUCAGUUUAUGCUGCCCAACUGAAAUUUGUGGGUUGGUUGCCAUCGGCAUAGAUAGUGCACCAGUAGUCCCCGAUGUACUUGAAGGGACGGCAGAUUGUGCACUUGCAUUCGUCAAGGCAGCCGAUGGAGCCGUGACCUCUGGUGCCGUUGGCUGAUGAUGGGAGGGGCCCACAUAAUCUGGUGGGAUUUGUCCUUCCUUGAAAGUUCUUGCCACGGCAUUGAAAACCGUAUUAGACAGUACACCGGCUUGGUUAAUCAACGCUCGAUUGAUGGCAUUGUCAACCAUAUCUUGAAGCUUGCCAGGAUUGGCGUCAAAGGUAACCUGCCGUGGUGCCGGCAGUGCAUCUUUCUGGACCAGUUCGCCGCUCCUGUUUAUGCUGAAAGACCUCAGGCAUUGCUGCUUGAACUCUUCCAUGGCUUGGGCAAUAGCUUGCUUCUGCUCAUCCUUGAGGUUGGCCUCCGUCACGGGGAUGACGUUCUCUUGAUCGAGGUCAGAGAUCGACAUGUUGAUCUUGAUCUUGAAUCUGGUCCCACCGGGCGUGCCAAAAGAUGUGUUGAUGCAAAACUGAUCUGCAAACACAAAGGGCUAAUACCCGAUUCAAACGUUAAGGCGUGCCAGCCGAUUUGACCUUGCUAUCGGCAAAGGUGAUAACUCGAAUACUUUAGUCCUGACAACAGCGAUGCGUCCGGAUGUCACGGCUAAGAGGUACUCACGCGGAACUUGAGAACACGCCGAGCUUAAGUCGACGAAUUCCUAAGAACUCGUAACAAAAGGAAAAAGUAUGACGAAGUCGUCGAAAAGUAAAUGCUGGAAUAUGAGUAAAAACGUGUGUUUGAUUGAUUUCUUGAUUCAUUAUUACAAGGCCCUAGGGUCUAUAUUUAUACCCUGCUCAAAGAGCUACAACCAGACACGAUUAGAAUUCGAACUCCAAAUUACACGGAAUCUGUAUACAAAACAAUGCAAAUAAUUAAGGAAAUAACAAAACUAUCCCUCGUGACAAACCGAAACUCCUCCACAUAACGACCGGCAGCUUCCAGACUCCUCCUUUGCAUCAUCGGCAGAUCCUUUGCCAUAGUCAUCGGCAGACUUUUUUAUCUAGCCAUCGGCACCAUAUUACUGCCUGUGGACUUAGUCACAUUCAACUUCUCCCUCAUCGGCAACCAUCCUCAUCGGCAACCCGCUUUGUAAACAUCGUACUGCCACCUUAUCCUGCCAUCCUAGACACGCGCCCAAAAACGGUGUCAACAGCUAUCAACAAGCCUUCACUCUUCAGAGACUCCAUCAUGCUUCAUGGCCAAGGACCACAAGGUAAAAUAUGAUGAAAGUGAAGAUGAAAAUGAAAAUGAAUAUGAUAGUUAUAGUGAUAAUGAUGAUGAAUUCACUAAUGAACAACUCAUGGACAUGCUAGAAGAAGACGAUUCACUUAUUCAUUCUAAAAACAAGAAGUGCAGAGAAUUGGCCAAAAAGUUAAAAGCUCUUGAACAGUCCUUUGAUAAGCUCAAUGCUAAUCAUGAGAGGCUAAUGGAUGUCCAUAAAAAGUUUGAGAAAGCUCACUCUUAUUGUUAGAAGAGAACAAGGAAAAGGUUGUUGUAUCAUGUGAUGUGGGCACAAUAGGUGACUUAAUUAGUGAAUCACCCAACAAACCUAUUGUUGUGUUCUUGUAGCUCUUCAUCCACCACCACCAACUCUACCUCUACUACUAGUGAUGGAUUCACUUAGGAUGCCUCACUAAAAGUUGAGAAUAAGACUCUCAAGAGAGAGGUGAAUGAGCACACUCACGCCAUAGGCAAAGCGUAUGGUGGUGAGGCCCGCUUGCUAAAGUGCUUGGGUAGUCAAAGGUUCUCUCUCAGCAAAGAGGCAUUGGGCUAUACCACCAAGAAAGGCAAGGUGGCCUUUGCAUCUCACAAGCUUAGCUUUGUGAAGAGCAAUGGUCGGUUUUGCAAUAAAUGCAAGCAAGUUGGACACUUAGAGCAUAAUUGCAAUAAAAUGAAUAAGAACAAAAAUGCUAAUGUACCUUACAUUUCUUUUGAUUCCUGUUAUGUAGUUGCCAAGGGUGAGAAAGGUGUGCGUGCUUAGUGUAACAGAACCACCCAAAUUAUAAGUGAUUAAGCCUAAUAGUGACCAUUUGCACGGUCAAACCAUCGAGCUUAAGCCCAUAUAAUCCCGGUAGUCCGUGAAAUCUUGAAGGAUUUCAAACCAAAUAUCGUACAUACAGCCAAGAUCGUAGUAAGUUUAGCAGUCCCCAUUCACAAUUACAUCCAGUUCACCACAUUCAUAAAAUACAUCAGAGUUCUUGAAAUUAUUACAAACCAAGUUCUCAAGUAGCGGAAGCUUCAUAGUUUAAAAUAACACACGCACACUUAGUCUGGUAUAGUGCCAUAGUUCGGCCAUUCCCACAAAAGCAAAAGAGGAGGUAGAGUGACCAUCGCCCUUGGUCUAGUCAUCGCCCAUUGCUGGGUACAGGCAGAGGAUACAAUAACCAUAGUACAUUUGACCAUCUGCAAAACAACAUGGGAAUAGAACCCUGAGUACGAGAAUGUACUCAGCUAGACUUACCCGUCAUAACGAAAAAUAAAGACUCUUCAAGGAUCAUGAAGGCUAUAUGGUGGGGUAGCUGAGACUUUUUGCAUAAAAGCACUGUUCCACUGAACAUAGCCUAAAGACCUUUCUUCUUUUAAUUAGCUCAAGUUCGAUAUUAUCAUUACCUAUUAUCUAGGUUUGCACCUGUAGUAUUGCAAACAAGUGUAGUAAUAUGAUGGUACCUCAUUAUAGCAUUCAUAAAUCAUUUCUAAUCAUAACCCAAGUGUUCCAUAGUCCUUACUAUGAGAACGAAGCUUAUGUCAAGUGCUCACUAUCCAGGAGCGAUGGCGAUUCAAAUCGAUUUCUGACCAGCUGGCGAGUUUAUUCCCCACAAAAACCACACUCACUGAUCAAGUGAGCUACAGAUCACCGUGUUGCACUAUCCAGGACCAAUUCACGGUUUCGACACGCACCGCCCAUACCCGAGGACCGUUCCGGCGUCCGAGGUAUCCAAGGUAUACCAAGGUUGCACUUCGCGCCCUCGUCGUUCUCCCCAACCAUCACCAAUACAGCGCGUACAUCGGGCCGAUUCCCGGCCCGGAUAGUGCUCAGGCUUCGCGGUCGGAACGACUUAUCCUUCCAGCUAAGUGUGGGGCAUGCGUUCAACAUGACAAGAGGGCCGUCAACGAUCGGUCCUUAAUUGACAAAGGUAGGGGCACUAUGGUCAACCCACCGUAAGACCCUGCCCGGUCUCAAAUUCCUUUCCCCACUUGGUUAUCCUUUCCCAAAGCAAUCACCGCUAAUCAAGCAGGUAUCCACCUAUAUUCUCGCAGGUGACAGGAAAUCACCCGACUUAUACCGGACUAAGCAAGCUAAGCAUAGACUCCGUGCCUAUCUACAUAGGUCAAGGUGGAUAAACAAGUGGUGAUAUCAAGGAGUACAUAUGCAUCAACGGUAUCAAGCAAUUCCUAUCACUUAAAUACAACAUAGUAGAACAAGCAUAAUAUAUCAUUCUUGUUAGCAAGAAUAGGGAGACUUAGAAUGCUCCGGGGCUUGCCUUUCUCAAACGUGCUCGGUUUAUGAUCCGGGCACUCUUGUAGCUCUUCUCCGGGCUCUGGUCCUCCUAGAGGUUCCUGCUCCUGGGUCUCCUCCUGCUCCUCGUGUCCCACCUCGUUCUCCUGCGAGCCUGUAUGAUGUAUGUAUGCUCAUGAGUGGAGUGCGAGAUGCCCGGGGUGCAAUGCUUAUGCAAGUGGGUAACAGAUGACGAUGACAUGGUGCAUAGAUGAUAUAGGUGGUCAUUUCUACAAGGUAGUCAACAUCAUCCAAGAACGUGUAACCGAACUAAGCAUCUAUUGUAUUGUUUUCUACAAGUUGUCUUCAUGAUUAACCAGCAAACUCACAUGAUGCUUCAAAGAUACACCAAACACCAUUUUACUUUAUUUAAUCUAGGUAUAACAAUUCAUAAUUUAUUUAUCCACUUUUAGGCCUACAAAAGUAGCAUAUAUUUCUGUUUAUCAAUAAAUUUCAGCAAAAAUUAUCCACUAUGCAUUUUCCAAUUUUCAGCAAAAACAUGGAUUAAAUAUAUUUGCACAGAAAAGUUGCUCAAACAUGACAUGCAGCCACUCAAAACUAUAGAUCUGAGAUUAUAGAACACAUCAAGAUUUAUUUCAUCAAUUUUGGAGCCAUAUAUCUCAAGAUAUGGAUUUUAAAUCAUUUAAACUAUUUUCUAGAAAUUAUUUUCUGAAAACCAAUUCGAAAUCGGGAUGAAAAACGCUAAAGACACCCGGAUCUCUACCAUCUCGGUUCCCCCCGCGACUAACAGUGGGCCCCCGACCCCACUGGUCAGCGUGACCGAGAGGGAGGGGCACCUCCGACGAGCGGAUCUCGCCGGCGGUGAGGUCCCCGGCCACGGGGUGAGCACCAUCGUGCUCCCCGCAGCGAGGCGCACCCAAGGGUGCCCUUGGAUCGGCCGGAAGAUGACCUGAGCACCCUCGCGAGCAUGCAUGGUGGCACGGCGGCGCUGCUCGCCGUGGCCAGGCCGCUUCAGUGCGGUAGAGCGCGCGCGGGGUUCCGUCGAGGCUUCCUUGUCGAGCUACGGACCUAACGCGCCUAGAAGCAAGCGAAACGAGGCAGAAAUGAGUGAGGUUCGAUGCGGCGGAGCACUCCGACGAGGUCGGGGAAACUCCAGCAAGCGAUUCACAGCGUGCGGCAGUCUCUCACCUCGGUAGAGCGUGCGUAGAGGCUUACCACGGUGAAGACGAGUGCGGUGGUGCUCUUGGCGCAGAGAACGGGUCACUGGUGUGGCCGGCGGUGAGCGGCGGAGCUCUCCGGCGAUGGCGCUGUGGCGUAGUUGCUGCGGCUGCGGCGCUCGCGAGUGGAGGAAGGAGAGGAGAGAGGAGCGGAGGCGACAGAGUGGAGCCUGGGGCCGCGGGGCGGCGUCCCGACCAGGUUAAGGCCGGUCGGCCGCGGCGCGUCCACGACGCCGACGUACGGCCGCCACGUGGCCGGCGUCGGGUGGUCGAAGGCAGGCGUCCGCGCGCGGGAGAGAGGGGAGGGGAGAACGGGCCACGCUGUCUGGCUGGGCCGAAAGGGAGGCGGGUCGGCCCAGCAGCGCCUGCCCCCUUUUCUUUUUUUUUUAAUUUCUUUUCUCCAAAAAGUUUAAACAAGACUUUUGAGGCUUUUACAAAUCCUUUUAGGGGUUGGAGUAAAAAGAAGAAUUGUUCCCCUCAAAAUUCCCUACAACUUUGUUUUAAUAAGCAAAGCCAAAUUCCAAAUAGAAUUUGAACCACAAAUUAAAACUAGUUCUAGGUUUUUAAUAAACUCAUUUUAGGGAUUUUAGUAUAAAUUCCAUUUUCUCAAUUUCUAUGGCUCCAAAAUUUCACAAAAUUACUCUUAAUUCUUCUAACACAUAUUUCAACUUAAUUUGAGCAUUUCAAUUAAUUUAGAAGCAAGCAUAAUAUUUCUGACCCAUUAAUUCACAUAAAUGAAGCACAUGAAAUCACAAGAAGAGCUUUUGUUUCUUCUCAUCGAGAUAGAGGCAGGCAAAAGAGGGAUUUUCGUCGUUUGUGGAUCACUCGGAUAAACGCAGCAACACGGGUAUAUAACGUAUUCAAUAGUUAUAGUAAAUUAAUACACAAUCUGUCCAAGAAGGAAUUGAUUCUUAAUCGUAAAAUGCUUGCACAAGUAGCUGUAUCAAAUCCAAAUAAUCUUUACACGAUUUCCAAUAAAAUAAGGACCUUACUCUUUCAUAGAAAGAUAGAAAGCGGGGCAGCAGUAGGGUUUAGGUCAAAAAUAAAAAUAAACAUGGGUAAGUUAGGUAUCCAAUAAAUAUUUAUUUAUCCUAAUUUUAUGGUAUAUUCUUACGUCCUUUGCUUAUAAAAAAGGUAACAAACGAAAGAAAAAAUCUCUCUAUUCCCGCGUCUUCUAUUCAGAGCAUCCCCUACUCUUUUUUAGGGAAAGAGCGAUGUAUCAUAUUUCUACUUAAUGCUCUCCAAUUCUACCAGAAAUCAUAUAAGAAUUUGUUAGGAGUAAAUUCCUUUAACGGGUUCAUCCAUAGUCUUAGGGCAGAAUAGAAUGGCCUUUUGACUCUGUACCCUUGAUUCCACUAUGAUUAUUGAUCAAUAGUAGAAGAAUUCUUUCAUAGAAAUAGGAGACAUAAUUUACAUGGAUAUAGUAAGUCUCGCUUGGGCUGCUUUAAUGGUAGUCUUUACAUUUUCUCUUUCGCUAGUAGUAUGGGGGAGGAGUGGACUCAAGGGAUACUACCAAUUGAUUGAGUAGUCGAAUUGUAGUAUCAACUCUUUUCUUUAAUUGAUCGUUUUGCAUUAAUAAUUUUGCCAAACUUUAUUUUUUCUUUCUUUAGUUUUGUUUCACUCUUGUAAGAAACUCUUUUAAGAAAGUAAGAAAGAGUCGUUCUAUUCUACUAUGUUCUAUUCCAGUAUAAUAGAAAGGGCGAUUAUAGUAACUCAUAAUUUCUAUUCUACUAGAAAUUAUGAGUAAAAAGAAAGUUCUAUACAUAAGAAAAUUAGAACAUAAGAAAAUUAGACUUUCUUACACGAAGCUAUUCACAACAUAUCGCACAUUUUCCAUUUAUACUAUUUUCUUAUUCUUAGAAAAUUUUUUAUGUUCUUUUUUUUGAAGGAUCUCGAUUGAAGCAUCUCGCACCUUUUUUAAGCAUGAAAGAUUCGUAGGUUUUUUCCUUUUACUUUUUUUCUUUUACUAUAGUCUAUUCUAGUCUAUUCUCGUAUUAUUUUUCUCCCCCUCCUUGGAUUCUUUCAAUGAAGAAUUAUCUUCGAUUUUUUUGAUUUUGACUUGAUUGAAAUUAAGAAUAAAUAAUAUCCGACGAAUUAGAAUCAUCUUGAUAGAGAUAACAGGCCCUUUCUAUGUAUUAUCAAUAGGAUCAAUUCUAACAAGUCACACACUCAUAUUCCAGAGAUACCAAAACAAAAAAAUCCACGGUCGAACUACCAGAAUGUCUAGAAAUGUGGAGCUUAAAGUAGAAAGGCUUUUUUUGGAUGGAAAAACUAUGAAGUCAUAGUUUUAGUUAGUAGAAACCUAAUUCGUUAAAAUUUCGUCCAGUAAAACAGAAGAAUUAUAAAUUUCUAAAAUUAUAGAUAGGAAUAUCGCGAAUAAAGCCAUUGCGACCCCCAUAAAAGGAGUAGUCCCCCAACCCGGAGCAACUUUCCCAUAUUCCGAAUUCAAGGGUUUCAAUAAACUACCUGCGCCAGUCCGUUUUGGCUUAGGUCUAGAACUAUCUUCAACGGUUUGUGUAGCCAGUGCGUUCUGAGGUGUGAAGUGGGAGAGAGGGGAUGAUUGAGGUUUUGAAUAAGACGACCUUUGCGUUUUGGAUUUGGAUCUUUUUCGUAUUUCAAAAUAGUGAAAAAGUAAAAUAAGAGGUGUUAAGCUUUUUAUCAUUCUGGCAUCGAGCUAUUUUGCCGCAGGACCUCCCCUACAGUAUCGUCACCGCAGUAGAGUUUAACCACCAAAUUCGGGAUGGAUUGGUGUGGUUCCUCUACGCCUAGGACACCAGAAUAUCGAACCAUGAACGAGAAAAGGCAUGAGAGAAAUAUUGGCUAGUAAUUGUGAAGCCCCAAUUCAUAACUGGAAGGGACACCAAAGGACUCUGCCCUCCCUCUCUAUUUAUCCAAGAGAUGGAAGGGCAGAGCUUUUUUUUGGUUUUUUCAUCUUUUCUUUUCAUCAAAGAGUUGAACAAUGAAGAUAGAUGGCAAGUGCCUGAUCGAUUUGAUCAGGUCGUGUAGGAACAAGGUUCAAAUCGUUCGUUCGUUAGGAUGCCUCAGCUGCAUACAUCACUGCACUUCCACUUGACACCUAUUUAAACGGCUCGUCUCGCCGCUACCUUAUCCUAUUUCCAUACUUCUGUCGCUCCAUCCCCGUAUGGGUGGAGAACCCGUCGCUGUCUCGGCUGUGCUACCGGAGGCUCUAGGGAAGUCGGAGGAGAGAGCACUCAUCUUGGGGUGGGCUUACUACUUAUAUGCUUUCAGCAGUUAUCCUCUCCACACUUGGCUACCCAGCGUUUACCGUANNNNNNNNNNNNNNNNNNNNNNNNNNNNNNNNNNNNNNNNNNNNNNNNNNNNNNNNNNNNNNNNNNNNNNNNNNNNNNNNNNNNNNNNNNNNNNNNNNNNUGUUCACUCGGCUGGCUGGUCUAUUUAUUGCUAUUUUGUCUUAAUAGAGAAGAAGCUUUUUCCUGCGAAGAUCAAGUUGAACGGUGAGUUCUAAAGGUUUUCCUGAUGUACCAGUGUCUGUGUCGCUUUCCAAGUAGUCCUUUCUUAUUUAAUCAAAGAAAGGGCUUCAAAAUCCAGAACUGCUAACAAACCAAGGAUAUAAGAAUAUUCAUUAGGUUAAUCACUUUUCUGUGUUCAUUAGUGAACUUCCCCAGAUAACAAAUGUCUAGAAUCUCCAGAUAAGGAAGUACUCUUCUCAAAACACAACUGCUAACUACAGAUAAUUCUUCAUUUGCUCCUUGGUUUAGACUUUAGAACAGCACUAGAUCUUAAGUAAUUGUGGGAGCAGACCUCCUAAAGCACCAGACCAUUUUAUGAACCAAUUGCAAGUAAAAGUAGUCUUUGCAGCAAGUUAAACAAUAGUAUCACAAGUUCACAACUAUGAAUGCUCACACUCAGGAUAGACGCCCAGCUUUAUUAAGAAAGCCAAAGUUCAUACAAUAAAAAAGGAAAUAAGGAAAGCAGGGGACACCUGCGUUACAAUGAGGUAAUCUGACUUAUAACGACUCCUGAACAACUCAAACACUAGAAAGCACUAGUAUCACCAAACCAACAACUGAGCUUUCGACAGACGGACUUAGUCUUUCUUCAGGUCCCGCUAACCUAGUGAUGUAGAAGAUUAGCGCCGGAUGGCACAAGGCGCUUUGCUGUAAAACGCAGCCUCUCCACAGAAUUUUGCUGCAUGCUGGGCCCUGAUGGUGGAACUGUCAUUUUGGGGAAGAAGAAAGCCGCCCCCUUUUGCGGCAGAGUGGGCAGCAUCGCUUUCCCUCGCGUAGCUUCGAUGCCAUGAAAAAGCAGAAAAAAGACAAGAAAAAGAAAAAACAGUAUCUUUUGGAUUCCUGCCAUUAAUUACAGGAAAACGAAUUGUGGAGCUGUAGGCUUCAAAGUAAGGGGAGGACCGAGAUUAUAUACCCAGCAGCAGCGCGGGAUCGAAGGGCUUGGUUGGAAGGUAAGUUGGUGGUAGGUUAGGGGUCUUUCCCGCGUGAUAGGCUUGGCGCUUCCCGCCUGAUAGAUAACCACCACCACAGGCCCUUUUACAUGCAAGACUGCCAUGCGGCACGAAUUUAACGGUAGGUACAAUCCUGAUAAGUUUGCAGCAGUUGAGUCAUGCCUUUGUAAACAAACCUUUCCCACCUUUAACAAACCGAUCCAAAACCAAGAAAGAAAGAAAAGAAGGAAUUUUAGCACAAGGUUCGCCAGACUUGCUUCUCGCUGCGCUCGAUCAAAGAAAGAGAAAUCGAACAAGAGCUGCGCUCGACCAAGAAGUCAUGGGGCUAGCUCGAACGAUAUAAAGAUGGAAUCAGCAGUGUCAGAAGUCAACCAAAACAGAGUAGCAUGGCCGGGCAGUAAGCUUUCGAAGCCUCAACAACAGAAUAGCAAUAGAAUAUUUUCUGACGCAGAUGGUAUUUUCAUUUUUUCAAGUGCUAUUGCCUGGAUGGUGUUCUCGGUAUCGUUUUCUUCAAGAAGGGAAGGAAUCGGGGGGAUAGAGUUCCGGGCAAGACUGUUUGGCUCUAUGUUCAGGAAAGGAAUGCCCUCAGGGAAGAAAGAGGAAAGUAGCAUAGCAUAGCAGAGAAAAGAAUCUCUGUUCUCAGUCUAAGUAAGCCCGUCCUAGCAAUAGUGGCUGAAGCUGGUCUCGAUCUCGAACUCAAACUGAUGCCUAGCUGCCUCCAUCUCCGCUUCCUUCUACUACCAGUGUGCGCUCAUCCCUUGCUUGUUCUUUCAGGACUGAGUAUGAUGAAAUAUUUUGAGAUCUGACUUACUUUAGUCCGUAUCGUCGGUCUACUUCUGACAAGCAAAAGGCAUAAUAUCCCCAAUGAGUCAGGAAUAGAAGAUGCCAACGUGUUGAGACCGACCUAAAGAUCUUGUCAAACAAUACAGGCUUUCUUCCAAAGAAUAUCCCACUUUGUUGGCUGGCCUGGAAAAUCUUCCUAGCCUUGACUGUCGUUGCGUUUAACGAGCUUGACAAAACUACCUCCCCGCUUCUCAAAACAAGGCAGAUUAAGGGAGAAUGCCAUCUUUUUCGUAGAUAGUCUGAGUUCGAGCUACUGGACUGGCUUCGGCUUCUUCCUUCGAGUUAGAGUGCCCAAUGCUAAUAUUCUCAAAUGCCUUAACCGUAAUUUUCGUUGAUUCGUUUAGACUUCAUCCUAUAUACGCUUAUGGACAGGCAGAAAUGAACGGAUACCAUUCUCCAGAGAUAGUAGCUUAAUUAGCUUAGGUUUCAAUCCUAACGCACGAGAAGAAAAACGAAAAGCAUGGGACUUCCAGUACGAUAGGGCCGGACCUCAAUGGUCCUUUAUGUCUGAAGCGGAUGUGAGCGUGGUCAACCGAAUCUGAGCCGUGUGCACUGCCAGGCGUCGGAACGCUAAUCGGAGCACAUAGAGUGGGCGGUGGCAAAGCAGUCAUCGCGCGUGUGUGUAUCUCUCCCCGAGAAGAGGCGCAUGGGGUAGCGAGGCAAAUCGUGUUUCAUCAAAUGUGACAUGUCUUGAGAUGAGUCUGCGUGCGGGGAUCAUAACAGCAGUACCCCUUGUGCUGAUCACUAUAGCCAACGAAAAUCAAUGACUUUUUUCUCAAAGGAUUGACUUUGGCCACACCGUCUUGAUCAAAGAGCUCGGGUUACACAAAUCUCCCUUCUUUGUGUACUGGAACAGCUACCACUUCCUUAGAACAGCACUAACUUACCGCUCUCUAUACUAUAUAAAAAUAAAAGAAAGAGAAUAGCUCCAUAACCAAAAAAAUAGUGAACUGCCAUGAAUUACACACACGCUAGUAGUGGCUCGGCUAGAGGACUACAGCAGCCGAAGCCGUGAUUUGUAUGGUAUGUCUUGCCCUCAAUGUCUGGUUGGUUGGUAAGUCACUAAAUCCCUAUCUCCCGGUGGUCGAGUACCCCCGACGCGUCGAAUGGGUUGUUUAGUCUGACUUCUUGUGCUGGCCCGACAUCAUUCUGUCUCCCGCAUUCUCUCCUUUCAUCGGUUUGUUUUUUUUACUUCGCUUCGCGAUUAGAGUUGUACGCAUCAUGCAUGGGAAUCCUUCCGUCCUUGAUGUUAACGCUCUCGUGCGUAGGUCCCGGGUCAAAGGCAUCUCGAAGGAAGCUGCUCCGCAUAUGCGAUCACCUCCAUGUACCUACAGAUGAGGGCUCCAACGCCUACUGUACAAUCAUGUGGGAAGUG
rnacentral:lncRNA from 1 species